rnacentral:rRNA from 1 species
UACGGGGGGUGCGAGCGUUGUCCGGAAUCACUGGGCGUAAAGGGCGCGUAGGUGGUUUGAUAAGGGUGUGGUGAAAGUCCGGGGCUCAACCCCGGAUCUGCCGUGCCGACUGUCAAACUCGAGGGCUGUAGAGGCAGACGGAAUUCCGGGUGUAGCGGUGGAAUGCGUAGAGAUCCGGAGGAACACCGACGGCGCAGGCAGCGUCCUGGCCGCUUGCUGACACUGAGGCACGAAAGCUGGGGGAGCAAACAGG